CAGCUUGAAGCCAUUCCCUCUAGUUCUACUGCUAGUUACAGGAGAGAAGAGGCCCACUCACAGCUCACUACAACCUCCCUUCAGGUACUUAUAGAAAGCAAUAAGGUCUUCCCUGAACCUCCUCUUCUCCAGACUGAACAAUCCCAGCUCCCUCAGCCGUUUCUCCUAAGAGAUAAAGCUCAGUUUCUCUUAGUAGCCUGAAGUGGAAAUGCAAAGUCACAGCAUGAAGCAGUGAUUGAACACCUGGUGGGAAGGCAGGGCCAACCCAGGGGAGCUCAGGUGCGUGCAAUAUACCUGAGUGAGAAGAAGGGGAGAAGCCAGGAUUCACCUCUUCCCAGGCCUCAUUUAAGGGUUGGGAGUGAAGGCAAGUGUAUCUUGUUGGAGGCUCUCUAUAUGCCUGGGUCUUCUAUAGCUUUAUUGCUGAGACCAUGGUGAAAUUACCCCAAGAUAAAACUUCAGACUCUUCAAACCAAUGACCUGACAGAAAUGGGACUUCCUGAAAUGAAGUCAUCAAGAACACCUGUGAAGGGAGCAGUUGCAUGCUACGCCUGUGGGAGCAGCUUUGAGCCGUGUGAUUUCCUUGCAAUUCAACUGGCAAGCUCCCCUCCCGGUGGGGAGAGCAGCCUAGCUCAUCUUCCUGUACUGCAGAAUGGUUUGGUUCUUCAGUGGCUUGUGGCCGAGAACUGCAAUGGCAAUUACUAAACUCUUAUUCCAUUGAUUUUAUUUUUAAUUUUGAAGAUGCAAUUUGACAACUUUUUUUCUUGAUCUACAAACUGGUACAAAUCUGUGCAAAUUACAGCUCAUUUUGUGGAAGUUGAGCUGAAGAGGAAUGGAAAAGCAUGGCAUGUUUACUUGUUUCAACAGGAUUCAGUAUUCAACUGAAUAUACUUUA